CGGAGGGAUCAUUAAAGAGUUCUAUAACUCCCAAACCCAUGUGAACAUACCUAACGUUGCCUCGGCAGGUCGCACCUACCUUGUAGCACCCUACCCUGUAGGGCCUACCCGGGAGGUGCGGGUAAGCCUGCCGGCGGCCCACCAAACUCUGUUUGAUAUUGAAUUCUGAACCUAUAACUAAAUAAGUUAAAACUUUCAACAACGGAUCUCUUGGUUCUGGCAUCGAUGAAGAACGCAGCGAAAUGCGAUAAGUAAUGUGAAUUGCAGAAUUCAGUGAAUCAUCGAAUCUUUGAACGCAUAUUGCGCCCAUUAGUAUUCUAGUGGGCAGGACCGUUCGAGCGUCAUUUCAACCCUUAAGCCUUCGUUGCUUAGUGUUGGGAGCCUACGGCAACGUAGCUCCUCAAAGUUAGUGGCGGAGUUGGUUCACACUCUAGACGUAGUAAUUUUUUAUCUCGCCUAUUAGUUGGACUAAUCCCCUGCCGUAAAACCCCCAAUUUAUCAAGGUUGACCUCGAAUCGGUUCAGACAAACUCGCUAAAUUGAAGCAUCUUAGUCAGCGAAGGAAAAGAAACCAAC
rnacentral:rRNA from 1 species